UACGAAGGGGGCUAGCGUUGCUCGGAAUCACUGGGCGUAAAGGGUGCGUAGGCGGGUUUUUAAGUCAGGGUGAAAUCCUGGAGCUCAACUCCAGAACUGCCUUUGAUACUGAAGAUCUUGAGUCCGGGAGAGGUGAGUGGAACUGCGAGUGUAGAGGUGAAAUUCGUAGAUAUUCGCAAGAACACCAGUGGCGAAGGCGGCUCACUGGCCCGGUACUGACGCUGAUGUGCGAAAGCGUGGGGAGCAAACAGGG
rnacentral:rRNA from 1 species